rnacentral:misc_RNA from 1 species
UUUCCGUAGGUGAACCUGCGGAAGGAUCAUUAUUGUAUAACAGAGGUGCGAGGGCUGUCGCAGACACGAAAGGUCGUGCACGCAAGAGUGCCAUCACACAAAUCCAUCUUACCCAUAUGUGCAACACUGAGUGGGUCUACUUGUGGCUUGGCCGGAGGUGGGCUUACGUAUUUACACAAACUUUGUAUGCAGUGUAGAAUGUAUUUUUUGUUUUUGCGAUCACGAAACCAAAACAACUUUACACAAAGGAUAUCCUGGCUCUCGCAUCGCUGAAGAAAG